AGCGAACGCUGGCGGUAGGCCUAACACAUGCAAGUCGAACGGAUCCUUCGGGAUUAGUGGCGGACGGGUGAGUAACACGUGGGAACGUGCCCUUUGGUUCGGAACAACUCAGGGAAACUUGAGCUAAUACCGGAUGUGCCCUUCGGGGGACAGAUUUAUCGCCAUUGGAGCGGCCCGCGUCUGAUUAUCUAGUUGGUGAGGUAAAGGCUCACCAAGGCGAAGAUCAGUAGCUGGUCUGAGAGGAUGAUCAGCCACAUUGGGACUGAGACACGGCCCAAACUCCUACGGGAGGCAGCAGUGGGGAAUCUUGCGCAAUGGGCGAAAGCCUGACGCAGCCAUGCCGCGUGAAUGAUGAAGGUCUUAGGAUUGUAAAAUUCUUUCACCGGGGACGAUAAUGACGGUACCCGGAGAAGAAGCCCCGGCUAACUUCGUGCCAGCAGCCGCCGUAA
rnacentral:rRNA from 1 species